AUGAGCAUAAUUACGUUGACUUUUCAAUUAUUACCAAACCAUCCUGAAAAUGGGUUUUCAUGUUUCUCUCCUUUAUUAUCACGUCCACCUCCACCUGUCCUCUUCGUAGUCGUCUUAAAAGUAUCAUCUGUGCAUUCUGCACCCGAUUGUUUGCUGUUACAUCCAACAGGUGCAUCUUCAUGUCCAUUUGUUUGUCCUGUUAACAAAUUUCCAGGUGCAUCUACUGGUUUACGACCAUUCACUUUCAUGCACCAUAAGCUUACAAGAAGCAUUCCAAUGCAAAAAACAAGCACAUUCUUUGAAUACUUAGCCAUGUCUGUUAAGUUUUUUUUGUGUGUUUGA